AAUUAGCCAAACUGACACUUGACGAGCGACAAUACUUUGAGAAAGCUCUGGCGAAAGCUGCUUCACAGAAGUUACUAGACAUCAGAAAGUGUCCUGGCUGCAACUCUUUCAUUGAGAGAUGAGAUCCAUAUAAUCUCAGCGUUGAAUGUGCCAUCUGCUCUAAAAAUGAGGGCAAAACCUUUGAGUUCUGCUGGCAGUGUGGGAGAGAAUGGAAAGGUCCACGUCCUCGAUCUAAUAGAUGUGACAAUUACUUCUGCUGCAGCAAUUAGCUGGAUCUGUUGAGGGAUUGUGAAACUAUUACUUUUGCAUGCCCUAAAAAUAUUGUGUGUCCAGCCAUUCGUACUCAUCCAACAUGUGGUUUUCUGGUUAUUAAGGACACAGAGUAUACUAAAGUCACUUGCUGCUCUGGAUGUUAUAAACUCUUUUGUUUUGUCUGUCUCAAGCUCACACGUGACUGUGGGAAGACAAGCACUUUCGAUCAGCCCUGUUCAGCUGGUGUGGCUCCACGACAGAC